GUUGUUCGGAAUUACUGGGCGUAAAGGGCUCGUAGGCGGCCAACUAAGUCAGACGUGAAAUCCCUCGGCUUAACCGGGGAACUGCGUCUGAUACUGGAUGGCUUGAGUUUGGGAGAGGGAUGCGGAAUUCCAGGUGUAGCGGUGAAAUGCGUAGAUAUCUGGAGGAACACCGGUGGCGAAGGCGGCAUCCUGGACCAACACUGACGCUGAGGAGCGAAAGCCAGGGGAGCAAACGGG
rnacentral:rRNA from 1 species